rnacentral:rRNA from 1 species
GACGAACGCUGGCGGCGUGCUUAACGCAUGCAAGUCGAACGGAAAGGCCUGCUUUCCCUUGUAGAUUGCGGGUACUCGAGUGGCGAACGGGUGAGUAACACGUGAGUGAUCUGCCCCCAACUUGGGUAUAAGCCUGGGAAACUGGGUCUAAUUCCCGAUAGGACUGCAGGGUGGUGCCUGUGGUGGAAAACGAUUUUCUAGUGGUUGGGGAUGAGCUCGCGGCCUAUCAGCUUGUUGGUGGGGUAAUGGCCUACCAAGGCGGCGACGGGUAGCCGGCCUGAGAGGGUGGACGGCCACAUUGGGACUGAGAUACGGCCCAGACUCCUACGGGAGGCAGCAGUGGGGAAUAUUGCACAAUGGGCGGAAGCCUGAUGCAGCGACGCCGCGUGGGGGAUGACGGCCUUCGGGUUGUAAACUCCUUUCGACCGCGAGGAAGCCACCUGGUUGGAAGGGUGGUGACGGUAGUGGUAGAAGAAGCACCGGCUAACUACGUG